GACGAACCGAGCGAACGUUGUUCGGAAUCACUGGGCUUAAAGGGCGCGUAGGCGGGCUGCCAAGUCCGGGGUGAAAUCCACCGGCUCAACCGGGGAAGGGCCUCGGGUACUGGCGGCCUGGAGGGGGGUAGGGGCGUGCGGAACUGUGGGUGGAGCGGUGAAAUGCGUUGAUAUCCACAGGAACUCCGGUGGCGAAGGCGGCACGCUGGACCCCACCUGACGCUGAGGCGCGAAAGCCAGGGGAGCGAACGGG
rnacentral:rRNA from 1 species